GAUGAACGCUGGCGGCGCGCCUAACACAUGCAAGUCGAACGGCACCCCUCCUCGGAGGGAAGCGAGUGGCGAACGGCUGAGUAACACGUGGAGAACCUGCCCCCUCCCCCGGGAUAGCCGCCCGAAAGGACGGGUAAUACCGGAUACCCCGGGGUGCCGCAUGCCACCCCGGCUAAAGCCCCGACGGGAGGGGAUGGCUCCGCGGCCCAUCAGGUAGACGGCGGGGUGACGGCCCACCGUGCCGACAACGGGUAGCCGGGUUGCGAGACCGACCGGCCAGAUGGGGACGGAGACACGGCCCAGACUCCUACGGGAGGCAGCAGUGGGGAAUCUUGCGCAAUGGGGGGAACCCUGACGCAGCGACGCCGCGUGCGGGACGGAGGCCUUCGGGUCGUAAACCGCUUUCAGCAGGGAAGAGUCAAGACUGUACCUGCAGAAGAAGCCCCGGCUAACUACGUG
rnacentral:rRNA from 1 species